UAACGUUGAAACACCGAUUCUCGUACGAUCAUCAAAGUUAAGCAAUGUCGAGCCUGGUCAGUACCUAGAUGGGUGACCGCUUGAGAAUACCAGGUAAUGUA